UACGUAGGGUGCGAGCGUUGUCCGGAAUUAUUGGGCGUAAAGGGCUCGUAGGCGGUUUGUCGCGUCGGGAGUGAAAACGCCGGGCUUAACUCGGUGCUUGCUUUCGAUACGGGCAGACUAGAGGCAUGCAGGGGAGAACGGAAUUCCUGGUGUAGCGGUGAAAUGCGCAGAUAUCAGGAGGAACACCGGUGGCGAAGGCGCCACUCUGGGCCGACACUGACGCUGAGGAGCGAAAGCGUGGGUAGCAAACAGG
rnacentral:rRNA from 1 species